rnacentral:tRNA from 1 species
GGGCCCGUAGCUCAGCCUGGAAGAGCGCCGGCCUCCGGAGCCGGCGGUCCCGGGUUCAAAUCCCGGCGGGCCCG